rnacentral:rRNA from 1 species
GAUGAACGCUGGCGGCGUGCCUAAUACAUGCAAGUCGAGCGAAUGGAUUAAGAGCUUGCUCUUAUGAAGUUAGCGGCGGACGGGUGAGUAACACGUGGGUAACCUGCCCAUAAGACUGGGAUAACUCCGGGAAACCGGGGCUAAUACCGGAUAACAUUUUGAACCGCAUGGUCCGAAAUUGAAAGGCGGCUUCGGCUGCCACUUAAGGAUGGACCCGCGUCGCAUUAGCUAGUUGGUGAGGUAACGGCUCACCAAGGCAACGAUGCGUAGCCGACCUGAGAGGGUGAUCGGCCACACUGGGACUGAGACACGGCCCAGACUCCUACGGGAGGCAGCAGUAGGGAAUCUUCCGCAAUGGACGAAAGUCUGACGGAGCAACGCCGCGUGAGUGAUGAAGGCUUUCGGGUCGUAAAACUCUGUUGUUAGGGAAGAACAAGUGCUAGUUGAAUAAGCUGGCACCUUGACGGUACCUAACCAGAAAGCCACGGCUAACUACGUGCCAGCCGCCGCUGUAA